rnacentral:rRNA from 1 species
AAUGGGCGCAAGCCUGAUGCAGCAACGCCGCGUGAGGGAUGACGGCCUUCGGGUUGUAAACCUCUUUUAGUAGGGAAGAAGCCUUCGGGUGACGGUACCUGCAGAAAAAGCACCGGCUAACUACGUGCCAGCAGCCGCGGUAAUACGUAGGGUGCAAGCGUUGUCCGGAAUUAUUGGGCGUAAAGAGCUCGUAGGCGGCUUGUCGCGUCUGCUGUGAAAACCCGAGGCUCAACCUCGGGCCUGCAGUGGGUACGGGCAAGCUAGAGUGCGGUAGGGGAGAUUGGAAUUCCUGGUGUAGCGGUGGAAUGCGCAGAUAUCAGGAGGAACACCGAUGGCGAAGGCAGAUCUCUGGGCCGUAACUGACGCUGAGGAGCGAAAGCAUGGGGAGCGAA